rnacentral:lncRNA from 1 species
AGUGUAAAGCGCCACUUUCGACUAUUGCACUCACUACAACAAAAAUGGUCUAUAGCGACACUUUUAAAUGUAGGUACGUGUCAAAAAAGUGCUGCUGGCUAAAAUUACCGACACUUUUAAAAAGUGUUGCUAUAUGUGGGGUCGCUAGGUAUAUAGUGACAGUUAAAGAGUGUCGCUAUAACCUAAAAGAGUGCUACUAAUUUACCAACACUUAUUUAAGCAUUUAGCAACAGCCGAAACUCUAUCUCGUUGGCUGCGGUGGCGGAGGAGGACGACAGUAAAGGCUCUUCAUCUAGAAUUUCAGUGGAUUGAGUGAAGAGAGAAGAAAAGAUGGUAAUUGAUUUUUCUUUUUUUUUUCUUUUCUGUUUGUAAUCGGGCCAAAUGGACUGAGUGUGGUGAGUUGAGUAGAGUAAUCUUUUAUUUUUGGUUGGAUUGGGCUUUAUAUUUAGGCAUUAGUAGAUGCGUUUUUAAGUUUUAGCAUAAAUGAGACACUUACUCAAAAGUGUCCCAAACAUGUGUCGCUAUAACCUAAUUCUGUUGUAGUGACUUACUAGAAACUCAUCCUCGAUCGCCCCCUUAUGGUUGUUAAUUUUCAGAUCCGAUUAUCAUCGGUGAGGCGCUGGACCGUAGCAAAAACAUUGCUGAGUAGUUAACUAGAUCAUUGUGAGUCGGUCUAGUGAGAGUUCUCCUUUUUUUUGGUUAAAUAAAAAUAAUGUAACAUUUUAAGAGAAACGAGUGUUGUAAAACUUUAAGAGAAAAAGUUGUAAUGGUUUUGAUUCAACAGUAUUGCUUUGAUGCUUCAUGUAUCCAUAUCUUGUAUGACUUGUACAUUUUGGUAUAUGUUUUUAUUUCAUACGAGUAGGAAAAAUGUUGUUCAUUCAGCGGGUCUAUUACACGUGCCCGAGCGGGCCCAAUUGGCAAACUCGGAAUGUGACAGUUUAUAAAUAAGUUAUAUCCAAGUUCAUUCUAACAUAGUUUUUGAAUAUUAAUAAAGUUUUAAUAGUUUUUCAAUAACAAAAUAGGCAUAGAAGUAGUGAUAAAAUAAUCAUGGGAGGCAUCUGAUCCCUCGAAGAAUCACGACAAGUGUAAGGGCAUGAACAAUCCCUAACAGAACUAGCAAGAUGAUUAACUUUGUGUUUGAUUGAGAAUUGAGUUAAGUGUUUGAAUGAUUCGACUAGAAUAACAAAAAUAGGAGUACUUAUUGUUAGAAAUUCCGUGCGAUAAGCACAACAAAAAAGAAAAAUCAAAAAAAUUUGAUUUUUAAAAACUCGAUAUCCGAUCUCAAAUACCACACAAAUAGGAUCCCUCAUGUUGUUUAAGAUUAAAAGAGAAAAAGAAAAUCUAAUCUUCACCUUUGCGUGGGUAAAUCUACAUCGCAAUCUCAUGAUCAUGGAAUUGGUUCUCUUAAAGCUGCACAAGUGUCCGACCUCUAUAGGUUUCCACACAAAAUCACCGAUCUGAUCGAUGUCCUCACCGGGGAGCUAGCUCCCUUGCAAAGAACGUCAUUUUUGCCAGAAAAUCGAAGAGAAGAAAAGAGAAAGGAAGAGAGAUGACGGCUAGGGUUCUAUAAAAACUUCCAUAUAUUAUAUAGAGGGAGAUAAUUCUCUUUUUAAUAAUAUAAUAACCAUUAAGGAUAAGAAUAAAUCUAGAUUUAUUUACAUCUAGAUUUACCCUUUCAUUAAUUAGUUCAAUCGAUUAAAUCCUAAUUUAAAUCGACUUAAACUCAAUCCUAAUUUGAUCAAAUCAAAUUAAUAAUGCAAUAUUUGCACAUAAGUCCUCUCACAACUGAUUAACUAUUAGUAAGUCCUCUCUUGCAACAUUUGUAAUUUAAUACCACUAAUUUGUAAUAAUUACAGAUUAGUCUAAUUAUCAACAUUUUGAAAAUGAACUCCUCCGACGAUUUAAAAAUUGUGAUUCAGCUAUUUAAUCAGUCGCAACCUCUUAUGUGUUUUACCCCAUAGGUUUUACUAUAUCUAGUAGUGGGAUAUAUUCUGAUCACUAUUAACAAUAUCACUGAAACUCUUUUUAAUGGGUUGGAACAAAUCUAACUCUACCCAAUGAGAAUUAUCGAUCAUCUAUAUAAUUUUCAUGAGUCUCACAAUCCACCAGUGAUGCUUAGCAGCAUGUAGUGGCUGUCACGCCCCGGAUUACUCGUUUUUCCGGGCACGCCGACAAAUCCGCCGUAUACAAAGAAAUUUUCCCUGUAUACGAAACGAUAGCUGUACUCGUAAAUAAAUCAUGCUACAACCACGAGAUAAUGAGCUGCUAAACUGAAAAACAUAUAUAAAUAAACAUCGGGUUCACUAUACAUAUAUAGUCUCCAAAUGCAACAUCACUCGCUCCAGAGAGGAUCAAACAUCAAUAUGUACAUGACCCAAAAUCCAAAACUACCUGUAGCUAGUACUCUCUAAAGCAGCAACAAAACUGGAAGUGAUCUAGCUCAUGACUCCCUUUCCACGAUCAGAAUCAGCAACAGCUGCAGCCGCAGAGGAAGGCUCUGCAAAGAGGGGUUAACAACUGGGUGUGAGAACUACUGUAAAAAGUAGUAGUCCUCACUGGCUACCGCUACCGACCUCAACGGCUCACCUACUAAGUCUACAGAAGUAUGCUCAAGGAUAGUAAAGAAAGCUGAAAAACUCUAUAGCUAUAUGCCCCUAUACUAUCACGAUCCAACACUAAACUAUCUGUAGAAAAACAUGCAAUCUCUGACCCAAUCUCACUAGGAACUGUGAACACACCCGUCCCGCCUGUCGAAGCUAUACUAACUACCACCACGCUGGGUCGUCAGUGGAGAGCGAGUCCAAACAGGACACAACGACAACAACGCAAAAGCACAAAGCCCGACUACGGAGUGGCACUCGUGGGCGCUACCCAACCGAGUAUGCAAGCGUAUCUCUGACGAGUUCAAUCAGGCUCUCACAGGCUAUAGUCAAAGCAGAAGGGUCUAACUGAUCUAACAACUAUAAUAAACAUGUCAUCGGCACAAUCUGAUGCAAAAACAGCAAACUCGGUCCACUGUCAAUCACAACGGCACCCGACAGUCCGGAAUAGACUAUACACUACUGUAAAAAUAAACUCGGCAUCCCAGUACGAGCAUAAAUUCAUUCUACACUAUUCUGGAUAUCCACCGCCUACAAACUGCGGCGACACAAACAAACUACAGCUCCUAAAGCUAAAUAUGGUAGUUUUCAGAAAAUAACAGUGUAGAACCUAUAGUUUUCUCCUAAGUCAAAUCCAAGUCCAACAAGUAUAAUAAAACUAGCAUUCAAAGCUCCAAUUCAGAUUUCAUUUAAAAACAAUGCAAAUCGGCGAAUCGAGCUAUUAAACAUGAUAUACGAAACCAAAAAUACAUGCUGUCAACUCCGGCUUAGGAGGAAAUCCGACAAUUUCGGUAAACAUUAACCCACCUCGAAAAGUUAUUCCAAUAACGACGAGAAAAUGCAAGGAAAGGAAGUCACGCGCUCGCCCGGCCUCCAAUGGCGCUACCACGACGCACGCACCGCACGCACGCUCGAACGGCUCCCCGGCGCAGCGUCGGCGUCGAUCCGAACUCCAACCGAGGACUCCACCUUGCUCAUGAUCAAAUACUAGAGAGAGAGAGAGCACAACAAUAAAACCCUCCAUCUCUGCCUCUCUAUCCAUAUAUAAAAGAUGAGGAUAAGGGUGAAGUCCACAAGGUAGCAAAAGACCAAACAGCCCCUCACCUACCCUGGAGUACCGGUAUCAGGUCGAUGCCGUACCGGUACCCAGCAUCAGAAAUUGUAACCCGAGAGCAGCAGUUCGCAGAAUACGCUGGGGUACCGGUACGCCCCUGUGUGGUACCGGUAUGCAAUACUGAAAACCUGCAAUUUGCAGAUUUCAAUGCUAAAAUCCUGCUCUCGCAUCGCAACGAGUCCGUUUUGCGUCUAUUUCGCGCCCAAACGACUCGUACUUGUCCCGACACUCUCCAGAUGUGUCGACAAGCCUCAGAUGCUGAAAUCUCACUACUGCAGAACACCAGAGAUACUACAGUGGCAUUUCGAUAUAAUGAAAUACUGAACCUCUUGGCGCAGUUACCAUAUGAUACAGUCCUUCUAUCAUAAGUCCCGACUAGACGGAGGUCAUAGAAUAACUCGUCAAAUCCCAUCGUCUGUCAUAUGUCAAAUUUAUUUGACUCUAGUUUCUAAUAUCGAAAAUCCUUUUUCACUAUUAACUCUGCCCUGGCCAAGGUCUUCUAAACUCGGUCUUAUAAAUCAUAUAGGACUAAUGCCCUUAUCUACUUAGAGAGAUAGACUAUAUAGGUGCACACCCUAUUCCUACAAUGAACCUAUUGCAGCCAACAUGCACCGCAAGGACGCGAAUAGCUAGGGACCAAGUAUAUGUACAAUCAAACUGCAGUAACCUCAUCGCGAAUAGCCGAGGCACCGCAGGUCAAAGGACCAGUCACACUACUGCAAUAUUAAGUAAGUCAUUGACGAGUGAGUAGACAUCCAAGUGAUUUCUCGCAUUGGUCACGCCUGAUACCCUUGUUCUUUAACAACCACCUGCAAAUUCACGCCAGUGUCCCUACACUGUUGACUAGAGACUCGCCUACCUGAAACGGGAAGCGACCUGUACACCAAUUUCACUAGAUCAAUCACCAUCCCCAUGCCAUCGAUCGAGAGCAUUUAGGAAUUAACCACCAAUGACACAUGUCUCAAAUUCUCAACUCUUGAGAAUACGUGUUAUCAUCUUAUUAAUUCUUUGGACGAUUUAUGGACACAUACACAACAUGAAUUGAAAUAAUAACCCAAAUUUAUUGAUAAUAUUUUAAAUCAAAUAUAAAUUUAUAUCUGAAAAAAUACAUGUGUCGGCUUGAUUGGCUUCUAGGGCAUACAUCUAACACUUAUAAUUUUUAAAAAAUAUAUAUUUUUUCCUAUUAACGUAUUUCAAAUUAUUAAUUAAUAUAAUAAGUUAAUUAAUUAAUUAACAAUGAUCAAAUGAGAAAAUAGGGAAGCACAUUAAAUUAGUUAAUUAACUAUAAAAAAUAACUCAAAAUGUUAAUUAACUAAUUAAUUAGUAAUCAUUUAAUAAGCUAGAUAAUUAUUUAAUAAAUUUAUUAAAAUAGUCAAAAUAUUAAUUAGUUUAUUAUUCUGCAUAUUAUUUAAUGGAUAGGGACAUCAAAUGGUUAAUAAUUAAAUUAGUUGCUUAAUUAUAAACAAUAAAUUAAUUGCUCAAGUGGCUAGUUCAAUGUUUGUUUUAUUUUUUAAUAAAUUGAAUAGUUAAUUAGUUAGCUAGUAAGUAAAUAUUAAAUAAGUUAAUAUAUGAUAUGUUAUUAUUAAUAUCAUAUAGUUAUUUAGAACUUAAUUAUUAAUUUUUGUAGAGGAAAAAGAAAAAAAUAAUAAUAGUUCUUCCAUAACGCCUCUCUUAAAAUGUAUCCUAGAAUAACCCGUUAAAACGGAGACUAGUGUUAGGUAACCAAACCAAUUGAGGGAAUAAGGAAAAUAAUACUCAUUAUUCCCAAAUAGGAGCUUAGAGUAUUAAUGGUAGCAUAUGCAAUCAUAACCUAUUUCCAAACUUAUGUGAGUUGAACGAAUACGAUAAUUACCGAAAUUAUAAAAUUUAUCCCAAGUCUCAAGUUUACCAAUUCAAGAAAACUUUUGGCAGCAUUUUAUUUUGUAGUUGAAUAGAUUUUUUUUCUCUAUCAAACCAUUAAAAAUGGAAUUGUGCUUACAACAUUCUACACGUGCUUAAAAUGAAUCUUAUCAGUACACACACUCUGCACGUUCUUAAAAUGAUCUUACGUAUUUAUAUGUAGAAACAUUGGUAUUUAAUGGUCACUAGAAAUCUCAGCCAAGUUAUGAACUAUGUACAUUUGACUUGAGCGUAAAAUAAUUUGACAAAUUUAUUAUUUGUAGAAAGUGUUAUCAUCGCUUACUGAAAAUCUCACCUCACUUUUGAAUACGGUCGGACACUACUAUUUGCGGAAACAGUAGUAUUAGCCCACAAUGGAAAUUAAUCUCAUCUGAAUUCUGAACUGCAAUUAAACAUUCUACAGUACUGCAUAUAAGAAACAUUACACUUCUAUCACUACAACAAAAACGGUCUAUAGCGACACUUUUAAAUGUAGGUACAUGUCAAAAAAGUGCUGCUAGCUAAAAUUACCGACACUUUUAAAAAAUGUUGCUAUAUGUGAGGUCGCUAGGUAUAUAGUGACCGUUAAAGAGUGUCGCUAUAACCUAAAAGAGUGCUGCUAAUUUACCAACAACUUAUUUAAGCAUUUAGCAUCGGCCGAAACUCUAUCUCGUUGGCUGCGGUGGCGGAGGAGGACGACAGGAAUGGCUUUUCGUCUAGAAUUUCAGUGGAUUGAGUGAAGAGAGAAGAAAAUAUGGUAAUUGAUUUUUCUUUUUUUUUUCUUUUCUGUUUGUAAUCGGGCCAAAUGGACUGGGUGUGGUGGGUUGAGUAGAGUAAUAUUUUAUUUUUGGUUGGAUUGGGAUUUAUAUUUAGGCAUUAGUAGAUGUUUCUUUAAGUUUUAACAUAAAUGGGACGCUUACUCAAAAGUGUCCCAAAUAUGUGUCCCUAUAACCUAAUUCUGUUGUAGUGUAUUU